rnacentral:rRNA from 2 species
AAGAGUUAUUAAAUAUUUUUUUUUCCCGAAAUUAGAAGAUCUAAUUUAUAAAUUAUAUUAGUAAGAUUAUUUGUUUCAAAAUUUAAAAUAUUAUAAUUUAGGUGUGAUAGGCUUAACAAUUUUAAUAAUAUCUGGAUAAUAUUUAAAUGUAUUUAGUACAUAAUUAUUUUUGAAUUUUUAAGUUUUUAGAUUAAAAAAAUAUAAGAAUUUAUAUUUAAAAUAUUUUAUGAAAUAAUUUUCAUAUAAUUAUUUGUUAAUAUAAUUUAUAUUAAUACUUAUCUUUAAAUUUAAAUAUUAAUAUAAUAUAAUUAUUUAUUAUAUUUAUAAUGUUAAAAUUAGUAGAUUAUUUUAUAUUUAAUUAAGGAACUCGGCAAAAAUAAUAUUCAACUGUUUAUCAAAAACAUAGCUUUAUGAACUACAUAUUAAGUUUGACCUGCCCAAUGAUAUAAUUUAAAUGGCC